CCCCUGUGCCACGCCCGUGUAUCAGUCUCUGCCCGGCCCUAAUGGCCGCAGGUUCCAAUCUGUGUGCCAAUUUUCAAGACUUUUUAAGCACGUUAAGGGCCCCAAAAGCCCCCGAGACGUUGGAAAAAAAAAAUAAUAAUAAUAAUAAUAAUAAUAAUAAUAAUAAUAAUAAAAAAUAAUCCUAAGGAAAACAAUAGGCCUCUCGCCCUUUGGGCUUGAGCCCUAAAUAUAGCUGCAAGCAGCGAUGGCGGGCUCAAGCCACCAAUGCCAUCGCCACCCCGGUGGCAUCAGGUAAACUGUGCCCAGCGGGCACAUGCAUUCACAAUAUCCCUCUGGCAGUGAGGUUUUAAAGGAUACGCCAGAUAAAGGGUUAAUCCGAAUCAUCUAGACUUUAAAAUCACAUUCACAGAACAAUAUAUAUUUAACUUUAGUAACACUUUACAAUAAGAUUUCAUUUAUAAACAUUAUGUUAACAUGAACAAUAUUUAUAUAGCAUUCAUUCAUGUCAGUUAAUAUUCCAAACUUAAACAUUAAAUCAUUGUUUUAUUGUGAUUUUUUUCCAAGCACAUUUUACCAAUUCCAAACCAUAUCAAUCUUAAUAACUACCAUUAUUUUUCAUUUAAUCAUUUAUGAGUGCUAUACAAUAGUCAAGGAAAGCUGGAAGAGAAAAACUCCUUAUAUUCAUGUGUGCAGAAUUAUUAGGCAUGUUUUCUUUUACAGAUGAAAUGCGCUAAAAAAGAGUUUUAACUCAAACUGUAAAGUCGAAAAUUAUGAAAUACCCAUGAUAAAUAUCAAACACAAAUGCAAUACAGAAAUGGAUAAGUUAAGACUUGACCAUUGUACAAAAAAUGCUGACUGGGUCAUGAGGUCAGAAAAGAAGAAGAAAAAAACAGGUCAAGAAGAACUGACAAAAAGAAUUGCAAAAUAAUAAGGAAUUAAUGUGAAGAUUAAUUUUUAGUCAAUUCUGCAAGACAGACUUUCAGGAAAGGAGGUGGAAUAAAAAUGAGCUCCUAAAUCUUAAUCCCGGAUUCUGGAAGAUAUAUUCCUCAAACCAUCGGACAAGAGGAGGUGCUGCUGGUCCUUCACGAGUCACUCUAAUCUGUUCAUAAAGCCUAUAUAUAAAGUCUUAAUAUAUAGUAUUUCACAAUACUUCAUGGUAUUCUAAUUAAAUCAUUUUUUGGAAUCUUAGAUCUCUCAGAACCUAACACAUUGUAAUUCUGAGACUCCAGGAAAGUGGCAGUUCUGUAAAAUGUUGGCGCUGGAGACUAAAUGCUCCCUGAUAGUUUCACACCUAAUUCAUUUAACACACACACACACACACACACACACACAUUACCCACAGUGACAGAGGGACAGAGUGACAUCAGAUGUAUGAUAGUUUUUUAAUUUUCUAUCAUCCAUAUAGUGUUGUAUAGUCAUGAAACUAUGCAUAUUUCCUCAGAAUGCCUUGUCUUCUAUGUGUACAUUUUUUUGAAGUGUUUAUAAGCAGCACUUUAAAAAAAUAAAAUACAUUUACUGGUUACUUUUUUACUGUUAUUUAAAAAAAAAUCACCAUGACAAAACCAGUCAAGCUAUUCAAAAUUCAUUCGCACCUCUUCUGUAAGAUAAAUUCUUUAAACAGUGGUAAAAGAGGAUGUGGUGCUGAUCCUUCAAGAGUCUCUGAAAACGUAUCUGUCUAUAAAGCCUAUAAAGAAUUAUUCUUAAUAUACGGUUCACAAUACUUCAGCUUGUUUUUCUAAUUAAGUGAGGGUCAUUUUAUCAGUAAAAUACAUAAAAUUCAUAUUAUUUUUCUUUGAAAGAUUUCUAUAAAUGAUUUAAAUCAUACUUGUUUCUACAAUAAUUAUUUAAAAGUAAUCCUAUAGCUCCAUCUGGUGGCCAUUAUUGGUACUAAGAAUUGCCAGCUUGAUUUAUAAGUUAUGAUAGUUUUAAUUUUAUGCUGGCUCUUGAAAAUGAUAAAGCUAUGAAACUUACUGUGCUUCCUUCAAAUGAUGACUUCUACGUAUAUAAAAAAUUAUGAAUAGUUGGAAUUAAACAUUUUAAAGAUAUAGUAAAAUAACUAUUGUAUUUUUUUAUGUUACUUUAAUAAAUCGCUAUGGCCACACCAUUUAAGGUAUCCUAAACCCAUUCGAAAUUUAACAUCUUCAGUAUAUGGCUUCAUGUUAAAACAGUUUGGUGUGAACUACUUGUGUCUUCUUGGAGG